GGCUGUGAGAGUGAUCUGGCUGUGACAUCUGUCACCCUAGUGAUCGCCAGGGUUGAUUCAGGUGAUCUGGCUGGCUAGGUGGGUGUCCCCUUCCUCCCUCACUGCUCCAUGUACGUCCCUCCUGAAGCUGCAUGCUCUGUCGAAGAGGACGACCAUCCCCCGAUAGAGGAGGACCAGUCUUCAAUCAAGGGUACAUGAGUAGCUGCACUUCCCUGCUAGAAAUAAGGCUCUAAUUCUGUCCUGCCCUGCCCCUAAGGCUGCUAUGAUGAUCUAAUGGGAUAAGAGCUCUACUCCCUUA
rnacentral:sRNA from 1 species